rnacentral:piRNA from 2 species
UCACAGAUGAAUGUGCUGGGUAGGUUCAGC